ensembl:lncRNA
CUGCCAUCGGCUGGUGGAGUUCUAGCAUCCCUAGGACAGAGUCCCUGUAGCCUUGAAGACUGGGCAUCAGAGAAACACAGUCCGAGAUGGCUCUGGCUCUAGGAAGAGAGUUAAAUGUGGAAUCAGCCCUAGACGGAGCUUACACGAGUGGGCCUGGUGAGUCUGGCCGGCACCAGCAUGUUCUUGGAAUCACAGCACGUGUCAGGUGGCCAUCACCAAGGGUGACCAGCAGAAGUCGCCACUUGGAUCCCUGGCCCAGGAUGGGAGGGUGGCAGGUGCGGGCUACGUGUUUGCAGAUCUAGGGGGCAGCGUGGCUGGGGAGACCGGGAGAGAUUAUGAAGAACAUAGGCUUCAAGGCUGUGGAGUGUGGGGAGCAGGAGAGGAGGCGUGUUUAUGAUGCUGCUGCUGCUAAGACACUUCAGCUGUGUCCGACUUUGUGCGACCCCAUAGAUGGCAGCCCACCAGGCUCCCCCUUCCCUGGGAUUCUCCAGGCAAGAACACUGGAAUGGGUUGCCAUUUCCUUCUCCGAUGCAUGAAAGUGAAAAGUGAAAGUGAAGUCACUCAGUCAAAUACGACUCUUAGCGACCCCAUGGACUGCAGCCCACCAAGCUCCUCCACCCACAGGAUUUUCCAGGCAAGAGUAUUGGAGUGGGGGUGCCAUUGCCUUCUCCAUGUUUAUGAUAAUAUGCACCCCUAAUUUCCCAGAUGGUGCGGGAAUCCAUCUAGACCUUCUGAUGAAACUUUACUAG